UACGUAGGGUGCAAGCGUUAAUCGGAAUUACUGGGCGUAAAGCGUGCGCAGGCGGUUUUGUAAGUCUGACGUGAAAUCCCCGGGCUCAACCUGGGAAUUGCGUUGGAGACUGCAAGGUUUGAAUCUGGCAGAGGGGGGUAGAAUUCCACGUGUAGCAGUGAAAUGCGUAGAGAUGUGGAGGAACACCGAUGGCGAAGGCAGCCCCCUGGGUCAAGAUUGACGCUCAUGCACGAAAGCGUGGGGAGCAAACAGG
rnacentral:rRNA from 1 species